CUGACUUUUCGUUCUGAACUAGUCACUUUCCAGGCCUGGCUCUCCUCUGAACCCAAUCAGCCCCCGCCCAGUUGGUGUCCACGGCCAAAGCAAUGGAUCUAAGUCUGUUUGAUGACAUAUUUGGCCGCUUGGGACUGUGGUGGAUUCAGAUCACAGCAUGGACGGACACUCCAAUCAGUGGUGCAGUUUGCUAAGGAGCAACUUCUCCUCUCUCCUCCCGCCCCUCCCCCACAAUCAAAUUGACUGAACUCAGGCUGAUUAAGAAGCUAUGGAGACACCUGACCUCAGCCUCGAGUCUUUAGAACUUCCCUCUGCAUUCCGGUCUCAUUUAGCGGCUCUCAGAAAGCUUGACUGUGAAGGGAAACCGAAUUCCGGGAUGUCAAUGGGAAAGAAGAGAAAGCGUCCCCCCGUUUGCUGUUUCAGACGUAAUGGAGUUGGAGAAGAUGGCUUCUGAAAUUCUUUCCAGCUCUAAGAUCUGUGAAGCUGUGACAAAGUCUAAAGGAGACGGCAGACAGGAGGAAGCCCGUGAACACUGGACCAAUCAGGCCUGAAUGCAUGAAUCAAUCUUGGUGUUCCUAGGAGAGGGAGGACCACCAAAAUACAGCUCAGGGCAAGGAACAAUGAAGUCAUUAAAUGAUUCACAUCCUCCACCAUCCUGGAUUGGGGAUGGGUGGGACUGGGUUGUGGUUGUGGUGUGGUUUGUCCUUUGGUCUCCAAGAGGACCAUAACAUCAGGAACAUGAUGAGAUAAAUUUCAGUGGAUUUAAGGGAGGGAGGACUGUGCAAAGUCACCAACCUCACUUUCUCCUCCAGAGCCAUCUGGGUCCAAUGGCAAGAUAUAGAUCAGGAUGACUGGAGAUGGCCCAGGACUGGGAGAGAAAUGCUGAGAAGAGAGCUCUGAUUUCAUUUUGCAUUUUGAAAAAUACUCAAAGAAACCGAAAGAAUUAUGGUGAAUGAGCAUAUUCUCUCUUUUCCAUUAGCAUUUGAGAAAAGCACCUGUUUAGAAGAAAGUUGUUCUGUAAAUAAAUGCUCGUUUGGAGACUGA